UUAGCCUACGGGGGGCAGCAGUGGGGAAUAUUGGGCAAUGGGCGCAAGCCUGACCCAGCAACGCCGCGUGAAGGAAGAAGGCUUUCGGGUUGUAAACUUCUUUUCUCAGGGACGAAGAAAGUGACGGUACCUGAGGAAUAAGCCACGGCUAACUACGUGCCAGCAGCCGCGGUAAUACGUAGGUGGCAAGCGUUAUCCGGAUUUACUGGGUGUAAAGGGCGUGUAGGCGGGAGUGCAAGUCAGAUGUGAAAACUAUGGGCUCAACCCAUAGCCUGCAUUUGAAACUGUAUUUCUUGAGAGCUGGG
rnacentral:rRNA from 1 species